ensembl:lncRNA
CUUAUAUACAGGUAGUUUACUUGAGAAUGUGGCUGCAGGGGGCGGGAGUGAGAGAAAAGCAACAGAGAAGGAAGGGAAGCCAACCAAAGGAUCUGUUGCUAAGCUGACCACGGCAUGGGCAAUAGGUCUUGACCCUGUGGAAUCUUCUGAGGAUCCAUAUGAAGAGUGUUCUAGAACAUCCACGGGGGUGAAAGAAGGAAAUACGUAUUUCUCAGCUCUCAUCUGCCCCUCAUCACAAGCGGCCCUGGAAUGCCAAUACUCCUGCAUUUUGAGCUGUCCACAUAGGAAUGUGGUGCCGUUCCCAUAUCAUGAUCUGACCUUGUAACAGAAGCAGUUUUAAGAGACAUGAGACAGCAUGGAAGGGAAUUACUAGGGAGUUGGACUGAAGCAAGGAUGAACCAGACAGGUCCCUGGUUUUGAAUGUGGAUUCUUUACCACUGAGCCACCUGAGAAGCCCUAGGAAUAUUGCAGGUCCGAAUCAAAGAGGAGAAGGACGUGCUGAAGAUUCCUCAUGUGAGUGAAUCCAUACAGCCAAACUCGUCCUCUCACCCUCUUCAGUGUGCCUGGUGUUGGAUCUGUUUUUCCUCUGGUGCCGUGUGGACCUUCUUCACCGGACUCCUGCAUGGCGACAAAGGCACUCUCCUCUGUGGGUGACUGUCAUAACUGCUGCCCUUUGGUGGAAAUACAAGAGAAAACUCCUAUCUCACCAUUUUGCUGAC